AGAAACAGGAAAAAUUAAACCAGGUACAGAGAAACAGGAGAAAUUAAACUAGGUACAGAGAAACAGGUGAAAUUAAACCAGGUACAGAGAAACAGGAGAAAUUAAACCAGGUACAGAGAAACAGGAGAAAUUAAACCAGGUACAGAGAAACAGGAGAAAUUAUACCAGGUACAGAGAAUUAGGAGAAAUUAAACUAGGUACAGAGAAACAGGAGAAAUUAAACCAGGUACAGAGAAACAGGAGAAAUUAAACCAGGUACAG